rnacentral:rRNA from 1 species
AACAGGUCGAAAGUCCUGCUAAUACCGGAUAGCGCUUACAAGCUGCAACGCGUCUUAUCCAAGGGUUAAUUCCGCUCAGGGGGGGGCCCGCGGCCUGUUAGCUGGUUGGUGAGGUAAUGGCUCACCAAGGCGACGAUGGGGUAGCCGGCCUGAGAGGGGUGGUCGGCCACACUGGGGACUGAAACACGGCCCAGACUCCUACGGGAGGCAGCCGUGGGGAAUAUUGCGCAAUGGGGGGAAACCCUGACUCUUCGACGCCGCGUGAGCGAUGAAGGCCUUCAGGUUGUAAAGCUCUGUCUUCCCUGACGAUAAUGACGGUCUUGGAGGAGGAAGCCACGGCUAACUACAUGCCAGCAGCCGCGGUAAUACGUAUGUGGCGAGCGUUGUCCGGAAUUACUGGGCGUAAAGGGUGCGUAGGCGGCUCUUUAAGUGGGAUGUGAAAUCCCUGGGCUCAACCCAGGAACUUGCAUUCCAAACUCGAGAGCUAGAGUGCAGGAGAGGAAAGCGGAAUUCCCAGUCUAGCUGUGAAAUGCGUAGAGAUUGGGAGGAACCCCAGUGGCGAAGGCCGCUUUCUGGUCUGUAACGACGGAGAGGCAAGAAAGCGUGGGGAGCAAACAGGAUUCAUACCCGGUAUUACACUCUAAGAACGAAGUGUACUAAGAGUAGGC